AUUUAAUAAAGGCAAACUAUCUGAAAGGAUGGGACGCAAAGCAAUGGGCCUAAAGAUGCAGUAACCAUGCAUCCACGGCUGCCAGGCUGCCACC
rnacentral:ncRNA from 1 species